UCAGCAGGGAAAGAAGACCCUGUUGAGCACAACCCUAGUCUGGUGCUGUGAAGAUACUUCAGAGGUGUAGAAUAAAUGGGAGGCCCCACAGUUGUGCAGCUCAGGGCAUGUUCCAGUUUGCAGUGAAAUAAAACUGAUCAUUUUUUCCACUUACCCAGUGAGGUUUGCAGGGGGUGAGCCCCAAAGGGCUCUCACUUCUGAUGCCAAGUGCCUGGCACGACCUGUUCCAGGGACAGCGUCAGGUAGAGAGUUUGACUGGGGCAGUACACCCAUCAAACCGUAACACAGGUAUCCUAAGGCGAGCUCAAGGAGGACAGAAACCUCCCACGGAGCUUGAUCUUGAUUUUCAGUACAAAUUUUGUCCAUAAAAGCAGGGCCUCACAAUCUUUGACUUUUUGGGUUUUAAGCAGGCAUCUAGGAGACAGGGGAUGAGGAACUUGGGCAUAUAUGUUCUGCUCUGUCCCCAACAACCUGGAGAAUUCAGGCUGUUCCUGCUAA
rnacentral:ncRNA from 1 species